rnacentral:rRNA from 1 species
CCUACGGGCGGCAGCAGUGAGGAAUAUUGGUCAAUGGGCGAGAGUCUGAACCAGCCAAGUCGCGUGAGGGAUGAAUGAUCUAUGGUUUGUAAACUUCUUUUAUCAGGGAAUAAAAUGUUGCACGCGUGCCACUUCGUAUGUACCUUAUGAAUAAGCAUCGGCUAACUCCGUGCCAGCAGCCGCGGUAAUACGGAGGAUCCGAGCGUUAUCCGGGUUUAUUGGGUUUAAAGGGUGCGUAGGGGGAAUUUUAAGUCAGUGGGGAAAGUCUGUGGAUCAACCAUAAACUUGCAGUUGAAACUGGCAGUCUUGAGUAGAGUAGAGGUGGGCGGAAUGCGUGGUGUAGCGGUGAAAUGCUUAGAUAUCACGCAGAACUCCGAUUGCGAAGGCAGUUCACCAGGCUGGAACUGACACUGAGGCACGAAAGUGUGGGUAUCGAACAGGAUUAGAUACCCCAGUAGUC